rnacentral:rRNA from 1 species
AGCAGUAGCCGCGGGAAUACGUAGGGUGCGAGCGUUAAUCGGAAUUACUGGGCGUAAAGCGUGCGCAGGCGGUUUUGUAAGACAGGCGUGAAAUCCCCGGGCUCAACCUGGGAAUGGCGCUUGUGACUGCAAAGCUAGAGUGCGGCAGAGGGGGAUGGAAUUCCGCGUGUAGCAGUGAAAUGCGUAGAUAUGCGGAGGAACACCGAUGGCGAAGGCAAUCCCCUGGGCCUGCGCUGACGCUCAUGCACGAAAGCGUGGGGAGCGAACAGGAUUAGAUACCCGCGUAGUCCCUGUCUCUUAUAC